rnacentral:rRNA from 1 species
UACGGAGGGGGCGAGCGUUAUUCGGAAUUAUUGGGCGUAAAGGGCGCGUAGGCGGCUGUACAAGUCAAAGGUGAAAUCCCUCGGCUCAACUGAGGAACUGCCUUUGAAACUGUACGGCUUGAGGCCGGGAGGGGGUAGCGGAAUUCCCAGUGUAGCGGUGAAAUGCGUAGAUACUGGGAGGAACACCAGUGGCGAAGGCGGCUACCUGGACCGGUUCUGACGCUGAGGCGCGAAGGCGUGGGUAGCAAACAGG